ACUGCUCAGUAACACGUGGACAACCUGCCCUUAGGUUGGGUAUAAACCCGGGAAACUGGGUAUAAUAUCCGAUAGGUCUCGAUUGCUGGAAUGCAUCGAGAUUUAAAGCUCCGGCGCCUAAGGAUGGGUCUGCGGCCUAUCAGGUAGUAGUGGGUGUAGCGUACCUACUAGCCUACGACGGGUACGGGUUGUGAGAGCAAGAGCCCGGAGAUGGAUUCUGAGACACGAAUCCAGGCCCUACGGGGUGCAGCAGGCGCGAAAACUUUACAAUGCUGGCAACAGCGAUAAGGGAACCUCGAGUGCCAGGUUACAAAUCUGGCUGUCGAGAUGCCUAAAAAGCAUUUCAUAGCAAGGGCCGGGCAAGACCGGUGCCAGCCGCCGCGGUAACACCGGCGGCUCGAGUGGUAACCGUUAUUAUUGGGUCUAAAGGGUCUGUAGCCGGCCGGAUAAGUCUCUUGAGAAAUCUGGCAGCUUAACUGUCAGGCUUUCAGGAGAUACUGUCUGGCUCGAGGCCGGGAGAGGUGAGAGGUACUUCAGGGGUAGGGGUGAAAUCUUGUAAUCCUUGAAGGACCACCAGUGGCGAAGGCGUCUCACCAGAACGGACCUGACGGCAAGGGACGAAAGCUAGGGGCACGAACCGGAUUAGAUACCCGGGUAGUCCUAGCCGUAAACGAUACUCGCUAGGUGUCGGCCACGGUGCGACCGUUGUCGGUGCCGUAGGGAAGCCGUGAAGCGAGCCACCUGGGAAGUACGGCCGCAAGGCUGAAACUUAAAGGAAUUGGCGGGGGAGCAC
rnacentral:rRNA from 1 species